UUAGUUAUUGAGGUUUAAAUCUGUUGUAGGAAUUACUAGGGUUUGGUUUAGGAUUUGGUUUAGGAUUUGGUUUAAGGUUUGAUUAGGGUUUGAUUUAGGAAUUAGGAAUUAGGAUUUGAAUUAGGGUUUGGUUUAGAAUUAGGAUUUGGUUUAGGAUUUAGGAUUUAGGGUCUAGAUUAGGAUUUGAUUUAGGGUUUAGGAUUUGAUUAGGGUUUGGAUUAGGAUUUGGUUAGGAUUUGGUUUAGGAUUUAGGAUUUGGAUUAGGAUUUGAUUUAGGAUUUAGGAUUUGGUUGGGAUUAGGUUUAAGGUUUGUUUAGGAUUUGAUUUAGGGUUUGGUUUAGGGUUUGAUUAGGGUUUAAGAUUUAGGGUUUAGAUUAGGGUUUGGUUUAGGUUUAAGAUUAGGGUUAGGAUUUGGUUAGGAUUCUAUUUAGGAUUUAGGAUUUAGGGCUGGAAUUAGGGUUUGGUUUAGGAUUUAGGAUUUGAUUGGAGUUUGAUUUAAGAUUUGUUUAGGAUUUGAUUUAGGGUUUAAGAUUUUAUUAGGAUUUAAGAGUUAAUUAGUUUGGACCUAAAGUUUGAAUGAAGUUCAAUAGGAUUUUAACUAGAAUUAAAUUAAGAUUGAAUUGAGAUGUAUUUGAAUGAUAUUUAUGAUCCUUCUAAUAUUUUUUUAAGAAUUCUUAUUGUUUGUUUGAAAUUUCUGUGAGAUUUUUUUGAAUUUGAUUAAGCU
rnacentral:lncRNA from 1 species